GACGAACGCUGGCGGCGUGCUUAACACAUGCAAGUCGAACGGACAGGCCCUGCUUUUGUUUGUUUCUCGUUUGCCGCACGGGUGAGUAACACGUGAGUAUCCUCCCCUUGACUUUCUGAUAACUUCUCGAAACUGGGGCUAUUACCGCAUAUGAUCUCCUGCUCCAUGUUGUGCGUUGGAAAGUUUCGGCGGUUGGGGAUGGACUCGCGGCUUAUCAGCUUGUUUGUGUGGUAGUGGCUUACCAAGGCUUUGACGGGUAGCCGGCCUGAGAGGGUGACCGGCAACAUUGGGACUGAGAGACGGACCAGAAUCCUACGGGAGGCAGCAGGGGGGAAUAUUGCAGAAUGGGCGGAAGCCUGAUGCAGCAACGCCGGGUGCGGGAUGACGGCCUUCGGGUGGUAAACAGCUUUCGCCUGUGACGAAGAGAGAGUGACGGUAAUGGGUAAAGAAGCACCGGCUAACUACGUG
rnacentral:rRNA from 1 species